UAGAUAAAUUGUGCCACGUAAAGAAACUAUUGUUUUAAUUAUUUCAAUAGAAAAGGCAAAAUGUUGAUUUUCUAUAGAAAAAUUUUUCAGAAGCGGUAAAAAUUGCUAAAAGGUAGGAGAUUUGGUGCUCCAUGAGGGGGAGCGGGAAAAGAUGUCCAAAAUCUUGAGACUCCCACCUAAAUGCGGGAGAGUUGACAGGUAUGCCUUUCCCGUAUCCCCUUUCUCAUCCCUCCCCCCUACUUAUGGGAUCCAUUAACUUGGGGGUUGGCUCUUUGGGGUUAAAGUGAUAGGGAUGCUUGUCAGAAAAUAUGAAAAUACCCCUAAAAAAUUGCCACCUAAAAAAAAUACCCAGAAGUCCUGUAAAAUACAAUGUCUAAUAGAAAAGCCUGACCCAAAAAAUAUGCAAGCAACCCUGAAUAUGUAAAGAGCAACCCCAGCUGUCAUAGAAUCAACCCUU